GUAGGUGGCAAGCGUUGUCCGGAAUUAUUGGGCGUAAAGCGCGCGCAGGCGGUUCUUUAAGUCUGAUGUGAAAGCCCACGGCUCAACCGUGGAGGGUCAUUGGAAACUGGAGAACUUGAGUACAGAAGAGGAAAGCGGAAUUCCACGUGUAGCGGUGAAAUGCGUAGAGAUGUGGAGGAACACCAGUGGCGAAGGCGGCUUUCUGGUCUGUAACUGACGCUGAGGCGCGAAAGCGUGGGGAGCAAACAGGGAUUAGAUACCCUAGUAGUCCACGCCGUAAACGAUGAGUGCUAAGUGUUAGGGGGUUUCCCGCCCCUUAGUGCUGCAGCUAACGCAUUAAGCACUCCGCCUGGGGAGUACGGCCGCAAGGCUG
rnacentral:rRNA from 1 species